rnacentral:misc_RNA from 1 species
CGUAGAGUACCAUAUAUAAUGUCUGUGAAAAUUUACAUAAAGCAUUAUAACGCGGGUGUAUAUAAAUUGACAUUAACAACACACAUUGAACAUUAACAUAAAGCGUUAACGCUUGUGUAUAUAACUAUAUAUUGAGAGUCGCCACUCCACCCUGUAUCGUUUGCUUACCGCUAUCAGAGCUUCAAGCCAAAUUAUACACAAAAUGUCUCGCACAAGCUUAAUACUUUUGCUCGUUUGUUUGGUGUGUGUCGCCGAGAUUACAAAUGCGUACUUCAUUAAAGAACGAAGUGAAAGUGCACUCCACAAAUCAUGUGCUACCGAAGGACAAAAGUGCCAGAAAAAUGACGAUUGCUGCAGUAAAUUUUGUUUUACGGCCAUUAACCAAUGCAUGUAUAUAUAAUCUUGUUUGAAAUUAAUCUAAUAUUAUAUUAUUUAAUUAUUUUUCGGUACGGAAAGGGUUAAUAUUAGAUGAAUCUGGGACUUUGGUGUUUUUUUUUUUAAUUUUGGGUUUGGGGAUUUUUCUUUAAAUUAUUGUACCUAUAUAUAAUAAUGUUAUGUAAAUAAUGUAUUAACUAUACAAUAAAAUGCAAUGAAAUGUUCGCUUGUGUAUUUACUGAAAACCAAGUUAAUCAUGUCAUCAAUCAUCAGCUUCCUAAGUCUUGGUGGAAUUUCAAAGAAGAAAAUGUGCAAUUCUAAGAUGAUCAGAAUUAAAGUGACAUGUACCCAACUUCCUUGAGUACGUUUUAAAACUUCAUUUGUAAUUACAACUUUUUUGAGUCUUAAAUCAGAACGUAAGUCGUUGUUGGUUGAUAGUUGAAAAAUAUCGGUGCCGUCUAAGUACAUAAAAGAAAUACUGAAGGUAAAAGGAUUCUCAUUCCUAAUGAACUUUAUUUGGAAUUAAAGAUUCCAGUAACUUAUUGCUAUAGACCAGUUCUUUUAGCUGUUGAAACCAAAAAAAAAUUUAGUAGGAUGAAACCUACUGUAAAAGAAAGAAAAGACAAAGAAAAUGGAAGGAAAAAUAAGUUACG